GUCUUUCAGUUCGGCUGGACCGAUACAGGUGCUGCAUGGCUGUCGCAGCUCGUGUCGUGAGAUGUUGGGUUAAGUCCCGCAACGAGCGCAACCCUCGCCCUUAGUUGCCAGCAUUUAGUUGGGCACUCUAAGGGGACUGCCGGUGAUAAGCCGAGAGGAAGGUGGGGAUGACGUCAAGUCUCAUGGCCCUUACGGGCUGGGCUACACACGUGCUACAAUGGUGGUGACAGUGGGCAGCGAGCACGCGAGUGUGAGCUAAUCUCCAAAAGCCAUCUCAGCUCGGAUUGCACUCUGCAACUCGAGUGCAUGAAGUUGGAAUCGCUAGUAAUCGCGGAUCAGCAUGCCGCGGUGAAUACGUUCCCGGGCCUU
rnacentral:rRNA from 1 species